GGCCCUAUCGUCUAACGGCUAGGACGUAUCCUUCUCAAGGAUAAAAUUCGGGUUCAAUUCCCGGUAGGGUCACCA
rnacentral:tRNA from 1 species